GACGAACGCUGGCGGCGUGCUUAACACAUGCAAGUCGAACGGAAAGGCCCUGCUUGCAGGGUGCUCGAGUGGCGAACGGGUGAGUAACACGUGGGUGAUCUGCCCCUUACUUUGGGAUAAGCCUGGGAAACUGGGUCUAAUACUGGAUAGGACCAUGCUGUAGGUGGUGUGGUGGAAAGAUUAGUUUCGGUAAGGGAUGAGCUCGCGGCCUAUCAGCUUGUUGGUGGGGUAAUGGCCUACCAAGGCGUCGACGGGUAGCCGGCCUGAGAGGGUGGACGGCCACAUUGGGACUGAGAUACGGCCCAGACUCCUACGGGAGGCAGCAGUGGGGAAUAUUGCACAAUGGGCGAAAGCCUGAUGCAGCGACGCCGCGUGGGGGAUGACGGCCUUCGGGUUGUAAACUCCUUUCAGCCAUGACGAAGCCCUUGUGGUGACGGUAGUGGUAGAAGAAGCACCGGCUAACUACGUG
rnacentral:rRNA from 1 species